rnacentral:rRNA from 1 species
UAGGGAAUCUUCCACAAUGGACGCAAGUCUGAUGGAGCAACGCCGCGUGAGUGAAGAAGGGUUUCGGCUCGUAAAGCUCUGUUGGUAGUGAAGAAAGAUAGAGGUAGUAACUGGCCUUUAUUUGACGGUAAUUACUUAGAAAGUCACGGCUAACUACGUGCCAGCAGCCGCGGUAAUACGUAGGUGGCAAGCGUUGUCCGGAUUUAUUGGGCGUAAAGCGAGUGCAGGCGGUUCAAUAAGUCUGAUGUGAAAGCCUUCGGCUCAACCGGAGAAUCGCAUCAGAAACUGUUGAACUUGAGUGCAGAAGAGGAGAGUGGAACUCCAUGUGUAGCGGUGGAAUGCGUAGAUAUAUGGAAGAACACCAGUGGCGAAGGCGGCUCUCUGGUCUGCAACUGACGCUGAGGCUCGAAAGCAUGGGUAGCGAACAGGAUUAGAUACCCUGGUAGUCCAUGCCGUAAACGAUGAGUGCUAAGUGUUGGGAGGUUUCCGCCUCUCAGUGCUGCAGCUAACGCAUUAAGCACUCCGCCUGGGGAGUACGACCGCAAGGUUG